GCCGGAGCCGAGCGGGGCGGAAGCGCGCGCCGUGCUGCUGCUCGGGCCCGACCGCGCCGGCCCCCGUACCUCCCGGCCCAGGCUGCGGGCUGCGGUCGGGGCGGUCCCGGGCCCAGGCGCCUGCCGCGGGACGCGCUUCCGCGAAGUCUGGCUCACGGGUUCCCGGAACGGGGCUAGAGAGAUGGCUCACCACUUAAGAGCUACUGAUUGCUCUUCUAGAGGUCUUGAGUUCAAUUCCCAGAAACCACAUGGUGGCUCACAACCAUCCUUAAUGGGAUCCAGUGCCCUCUUCUAGUGUGUCUGAAGACAGCUACAGUAUAUUCAUAUAAAUAAAAUAAGACCUGGAUUUUGUUUCUAGCACCCAUAUGGUAACUUAUAGCGACCUAUAACUCCAUUUCCAGGGGUCCAGAGUCGUCUUUUGUGGUUCAUGGGCACCUGAGAGCCAGCGUGUGCGUGCGCACACACGCGCGCGCACACACACACACACACACACACACUGAGUACAUCUAGAUACAUUCAGGCACAUGAACAGGUUAACAGUGAUUGCUAUGGGAACUGUUCCAACCUCCAGUAGCAGAGCACUCUUCAGACAGCCACAGUGCCUUGAUUAACUGGCUUCUUCUUCGUCUCCAUCCAGAAUGCAUAGUUUAAUUUCUAUGCAUCGAGAGGACUAAGAUGUAUAAUGUUCACCAGACGAGACCCUCCUGGGUCCCCAUGAUUUCUGCUAGAUGUGUAUUUUUUAGAAAGAUUUAUUUAUUACUAUAUAUAAGUACCCUGUCACUGUCUUCAGACCCACCAGAAAAGGGCAUCAGAUCCCAUUACAGACAGUUCUGAGCCACCAUGUGGUUGCUGGAAUUUGAACUCAGAACCUCUGGAAGAGCAGCCAGAGCUCUUAACCGCUGAGCCAUCUCUCCAGCCCUUGAUGUGUAUUUUUUUUUUUUUCUUUUCAUUUCCUUUGAGUUGUUGGCUCCACGGCCAUCAUUCCUUUUUGCAUGCUUUCCAUAAGUGCCCGUAAAUCUCUUUUGUCUAUAGCAUGGUGACCACUGAUGGAGGAAAUUUUUGUUUUGGAGUGACUGAGCAUCAUGGUGCCAAGUCCAUGGGCAUACUUCAGUCUUGAUUCUACGGGAAACUAAGGACAAAGAACCAAAUGGUGUAUCAGUCACCAGGCCGCCUGCUCCUAGAUCGUUUAAGUAAAUAAAUCAGACCUCUGUCUGUUGAAUUCUGACCUGAAGAUCAUCACCACGUUCUGGAAACUGAGCACAGAAAGCGGGAGGAGGGGCUGUGCGCUUAAGAGCUCUUGCUCACUUUCCUCUUGGAGUGGACAUGAGUCCUGGUACUCCCACAGAAGCGGACAACUGCCUGCAUCUCUGUCUCCUGGCAAUCUGAUGCCCUCUUGUGGCCACUCAUGACUCCUAAAUUUACAGGGACAGGCAACCAUACAUAACACAUAAUUCAAAAUAAAUCCUCUUUCUUUUCUUUUCCUUCUUGUUUUGUUCAGAUAGGUUUCACUGUGUACCUUAAGCUAUUCUGGUCUAUAGAGUGAGUUUCAGGACAGCCAGAGCUACACAGAGAAACCCUGUCUCAAAAAAAACAAAAAAAGAAAUUUAAACUUCCCAGCCUAUGGCUCUGUUGGGGGUUGGGGGUUGAGGGGGAGAAAGACCAGGCCACUGCGAGUUUGGCCAUGCUCCAGUGAACAUAUAGUAUAUACACAACACAGACUGAAUUUGAGUGUUGGCUGCUAUUUUUGUUUGUUUUUUCUUUUUAGGGAGUGGGGAGGCCACGAGGGUCAGGAGACAAACCUGGGAGGACUGGGAAGUGGCUAUCCUGGGGUGGGGGAGGGUAUGUAAGUCAAUAAAUAAUAUAUUU
ensembl:processed_transcript Gm11613 predicted gene 11613